rnacentral:tRNA from 1 species
GGGGAUAUAGCUCAGCUGGGAGAGCAUCACACUGGCAGUGUGAGGGUCAGCGGUUCGAGUCCGCUUAUCUCCACCA